AGCUGGCGUCUUCCUUCCACUGUCACAGGAUGUCUCCUAAGCUAAGGAAUUCAGUCAGUAUGGCUUCUAACUCUCACUAUGAUAUUGCCAAGCUGGGGACUCACACUGUACUGCAAAAUAAUGGAAGCUGUAUAUUCAUCCAGGAUGUGCAAUUCAGCAGCCCAGAGCUGGACUGGAGCACGGACUUGCUUCCCUGCCCUUUCAUUCCCAUGCAUUGGCUGGUGGUUAAAAAAAAAACAAACAAGAAACAAAAAAACCACCCUCAACACCCAUCGAAAGACCACUGGCUCACAACACUGCUCUUC